UUACGGUCAUACCAUCUAGAAACACAAGUUCUCGUAUGAUCACCGAAGUUAAACAACUUCCUGGUUGGUCAUUAUCUAGAUGGGUGUCCGCUUGGGAAUACCAGGUGUCGUAAG